rnacentral:lncRNA from 1 species
GGCUGACGUAAUGCUUAGGAAGUUUAGAGUCACGUGGGGGCUCCUGAGGUCAGAGUCCCGAGGACCCUUUUCUCGGGCUGGGUCUUUUUCUGUUUGAUUUUGAAUUUGUCCUCGCGGUGAUGGAAUGAGGGCGUGUGACCGUGGGUGUUCCGAUGAGUGUGCCGGGGCAGGAUUGUUUCCAGUGUCAGCGGCUGUUGGGGGGAGGGGGAAUCUGCUCAGUUUGGCCGCGGUGGUUUGAAUAAAUGCUACUGGGCAGGGCCGGUUGGGUCCGAAUGGAUGGCAGAGCCCCUGAAGACUUUUCGGUGAAGAUAGGAGUUUUUUGUUUGUUUGGGUUCUGGGUUUGCUUGUUUUGAAGCUUAUAAAUGAUUUUUAAACUAUUUUGAUUGGUUCUUGGGCCAAUAUUAUGUUUAUGUAUUUCCAAAUGGGUAGAAGAAUUAGGUUUAUUUUUUUAAAAAUACUGUUUGUGUGCCUGUGCUUGAGAGGAAAAGGAUCUCCUUAUUCCCCUCUCCUCUCACAGAUGCAAGAGGAAAAUAGAAUGAAGGGAAAGGCCUGCCAUUUUUGUCUCUUCCUCUUCCUUUUCUCUGAAAGACUGCCUCUCACGCUCCCACAUGUCAAUUUGCUCUGCCAGCCCAGGCUCUCUGGGGUCCUGAAAUGUCUCCUGUCAUGAGUGGGGAUGUGGAUGGGAACGGAAAGCUCACGAUGAGCUAAACAAAGGAAACAGACCAGAAUCGCACCUUCCAGAAGGUCGGGAGCUUGAAGAUGAAGGAGGAAGGCAGAGAAAAAGGAGAACCGAAUACGCCCUCAAAGAAUAUGUAUCGAAUUGGAUUUUGCUGUUUCCUUGAAAAUGCACCCAAAGGGAAUUAAAGCCGCUAUUCAAAACCUGAAACCUGUUCAUGAAUUAACUCCCAAUCCACCUCAGCUGCUAGAGACCACGGGCUUGGUUUCUUUUGCAUUCUAGACAUGCCUGCAUCCUAAUAGUGACAUUCUAGCUCAUGGUCUGAUCAUAGGACCAUGUCCCUCUGAACUGGUACUUAGUUCCGUGAGGGCAGUAAGCAGCUCUCCUGCAUGGAAACUCAGUGUUUAGC